GGGCCUGAGAGAGCUCCGCCCCGCAGCCCUCCAGGUCCCUCUGGGGCAAAGGGUCAGGGGCAGCGGUAGGGGCCGGGAUGGGAAUGGGGCCGUGGUGCGGCAGCCUGGCGGCAUACCCGGACCCCUUCCCCAUCCUGCUCCUCCUGUCCGUGUCCUCAGGAGUCUCCAGGGUUGGGUGGAGCCCGCCCUCCCAAUCCCCCACCUCAAUGCAUACUUCCCGGUCGAGUCCACCUCAACUCGAAAUAUAGUAUCUAUUCGGACAGGCGAUAUAUUCACGUGCCUCAAGUUACAAAGCUUGUGGGAUCUUAGUUCCCCAACCAGGGAUCGAACCUGUGCCCUCAGGAGUGACAGCUCAGAGUCCUAACCACUGGACCACCAGGGAAUUCCCUAAUUAUUUGUGUAUUUGCUUUUUGUCUGCCUUGUCCCGCUAGGAUGUCCGCAAAUUGAGGAUUGCACUUUGCCUUGUUUCCCACCGUAUCCCCAGUUCCUAGAACAAGACCUAGCAUACAGUAUGUGUUCAAUUAAUGUAUACUGAAUGAAUAAAUGAACAGCAGCCCUGAA